GAUGAAGAACGCAGCGAAAUGCGAUAAGUAAUGUGAAUUGCAGAAUUCAGCGAAUCAUCGAAUCUUUGAACGCACAUUGCGCCCGCCAGUAUUCUGGCGGGCAUGCCUGUUCGAGCGUCAUUACAACCCUCAGGCCCCCGGGCCUGGCGUUGGGGAUCGGCGGAGCCCCCCGUGGGCACACGCCGUCCCCCAAAUGCAGUGGCGGUCCCGCCGCAGCUUCCAUCGCGUAGUAGCUAACACCUCGCGACUGGAGAGCGGCGCGGCCACGCCGUAAAACACCCAACUCUUCUGAAGUUGACCUCGAAUCAGGUAGGAAUACCCGCUGAACUUAAGCAUAUCAAUAAGCGGAGGA
rnacentral:misc_RNA from 1 species